UAUACAGCGAAACUGCGAAUGGCUCAUUAUAUAAGUUAUCGUUUAUUUGAUAGUGCCUUACUACUUGGAUAACCGUGGUAAUUCUAGAGCUAAUACAUGCUAAAAACCCCGACUUCGGAAGGGGUGUAUUUAUUAGAUACAAAACCAAUGCCCUUCGGGGCUCUUUGGUGAUUCAUGAUAACUAUACGGAUCGCACGGCCUUGCGCCGGCGAUGGUUCAUUCAAAUUUCUUCCCUAUCAACUUUCGAUGUUUGGGUAUUGGCCAAACAUGGUUGCAACGGGUAACGGAGGGUUAGGGCUCGACCCCGGAGAAGGAGCCUGAGAAACGGCUACUACAUCCAAGGAAGGCAGCAGGCGCGCAAAUUACCCAAUCCCGACUCGGGGAGGUAGUGACAAUAAAUACUGAUACAGGGCCCUUUCGGGCCUUGUAAUUGGAAUGAGUACAAUUUAAAUCCCUUAACGAGGAACAAUUGGAGGGCAAGUCUGGUGCCAGCAGCCGCGGUAAUUCCAGCUCCAAUAGCGUAUAU
rnacentral:rRNA from 1 species